CGGCGUUGUCCCUCGUCCCCAGGGUGGCAUCGGUGUCCCUCGUCCCCGUGGCAGCGUUGUCCCCGGUCCCCGCGGUCCCCACGGCCUUGACCCUCGUCCCCAGGGUGGCAUCGGUGUCCUGCGGUCCCCAUGGCCUUGUCCCUCGUCCCCACAGUGGCAUCGGUGUCCUGCGGUCCCCAUGGCGGCGUUGUCCCUCAUCCCUGCGGUCCCCACGGCCUUGUUCUUCGUCCCCACAGUGACAUCGGUGUCCUGUGGUCCCCAUGGUGGCGUUGUCCCUCAUCCCUGUGGUCCCCAUGGCCUUGUCCCUCGUCCCCGCGGUCCCUGCGGUGUUGUCCCUUGUCCCCACGGUGGCAUCGGUGUCCUGCGGUCCCCGUGGCGGCGUUGUCCCUCGUCCCCGCAGUCCCCAUGGUGGCAUUGGUGUCCUGCGGUCCCCGUGGUGGCGUUGUCCCUCGUCCCCGCGGUCCCCACGGUGGCAUUGGUGUCCCUUGUCCCCACGGUGGCAUCGGUGUCCUGCGGUCCCCGUGGCGGCGGCGUUAUCCCCGGUCCCCGCGGCGGCGGCACCGUUGUCCCCGGUCGCCGCGGUGGCUGACGCGGGGCUCGGGGACGCCGCCGGUGCCGGUGCCGGUGACGACGGCAGGCUGCUGGUGGGGGGCACGCGGCUGCGCGACCCCCC
rnacentral:lncRNA from 1 species